CACUAUGAAGCUUAGAGCGUUAACCUUUUAAGUUAAAGUUAGAAAAACAAUUUUUCCAUAGUGA
rnacentral:tRNA from 1 species